CUUUCACCGGAGCUUGCUCCAUCGAAAGAAAAAGAGUGGCGAACGGGUGAGUAACACGUGGGUAACCUGCCCAUCAGAAGGGGAUAACACUUGGAAACAGGUGCUAAUACCGUAUAACACUAUUUUCCGCAUGGAAGAAAGUUGAAAGGCGCUUUUGCGUCACUGAUGGAUGGACCCGCGGUGCAUUAGCUAGUUGGUGAGGUAACGGCUCACCAAGGCAACGAUGCAUAGCCGACCUGAGAGGGUGAUCGGCCACACUGGGACUGAGACACGGCCCAGACUCCUACGGGAGGCAGCAGUAGGGAAUCUUCGGCAAUGGACGAAAGUCUGACCGAGCAACGCCGCGUGAGUGAAGAAGGUUUUCGGAUCGUAAAACUCUGUUGUUAGAGAAGAACAAGGAUGAGAGUAAAAUGUUCAUCCCUUGACGGUAUCUAACCAGAAAGCCACGGCUAACUACGUGCCAGCAGCCGCGGUAAUACGUAGGUGGCAAGCGUUGUCCGGAUUUAUUGGGCGUAAAGCGAGCGCAGGCGGUUUCUUAAGUCUGAUGUGAAAGCCCCCGGCUCAACCGGGGAGGGUCAUUGGAAACUGGGAGACUUGAGUGCAGAAGAGGAGAGUGGAAUUCCAUGUGUAGCGGUGAAAUGCGUAGAUAUAUGGAGGAACACCAGUGGCGAAGGCGGCUCUCUGGUCUGUAACUGACGCUGAGGCUCGAAAGCGUGGGGAGCGAACAGGAUUAGAUACCCUGGUAGUCCACGCCGUAAACGAUGAGUGCUAAGUGUUGGAGGGUUUCCGCCCUUCAGUGCUGCAGCAAACGCAUUAAGCACUCCGCCUGGGGGAGUACGACCGCAAGGUUGAAACUCAAAGGAAUUGA
rnacentral:rRNA from 1 species